rnacentral:rRNA from 1 species
CCCUUAGAUGUCCUGGGCCGCACGCGUGCUACACUGACACUUACACCGAGUUUUUCCAAUGCCGAAAGGCCAUUGGUAAUCAGCAAUAAGUGUCGUGAUGGGGAUAGAUCUUUGGAAUUAUUGAUCUUGAACGAGGAAUGCCUAGUAAUCGUAGGUCAUCAGCCUGCGAUGAUUACGUCCCUGCCCUUUGUACACACCGCCCGUCGCUCCUACCGAUUUCGAGUGGUUCGGUGAACCUUUCGGACCGGCAAUGCCUCGUGUUGCGCCGGAAAGUCAAGUAAACCANANCACUUANAGGAAGGAGANGUCGUNACA